AUGGCUGCACAGUUAUAUAGCAACUUGCUGCAGAACAAGCAUGUUGUUAGAGAAUUUCAAGAACUACAGGAUUCCGAGAGACCCCUUGAAGGAUCCAUAGAGUCAAGCUACAAAAGUAUGCCACCGAAUUUGAGGUUAUGCAUUGCUUAUUGCGCCUUCGUAUUGAUGAAAAGAGGCGAAAUAGUCAAAGAGGAUCUGAUUCACCAAUUAAUUGCUCUCGAUCUUAUUGAGCCAUCCGAGGCGUUCUCUGCUCCACAGCUUGCUGAACAAUAUCUCAGGAGGCUCCUGGACAUGUCAUUCCUUCAAACUGCAAAGACAUCUCCGACUAGUGCAAGGGAUGAUACGUGUGCAGUCUCAUUCACCAUGCACAAUGAGGUACAUGGUUUCACAUUAACUUCUUCAAAAAAAAUUUUGGGUGUGAUGGAGUAUGGAAGGAGAUAUCGUGAUAUUCCAGAUUGUUCCUAUGUAUUGCUCUUAGAUCUUGACGGCAAGCCAUUGGACUGGAUAUUCAAAAAGCAAAGUACACGGGCGCUACAUUGUUUAGGCUGUACAAAGAUGAAUUUUGGUAAUGAUUCAUUUUCACUUGCAAGGGGCCUCCGUGUCUUGGAAUUACAUGAUGAGAGCUCCUUGCAGAAGCUACCAGAGUCCAUCUGCCAACUGAGGCAGCUGGGGUAUCUCAAAUUGUCAGGCUGGUCAGGAUUAGUUACUCUGCCGGAAUCAAUUGGUGGUCUAAUAAAUUUGCUCCAUAUCGAUCUAUCGUCAUGUUCUGGACUCAUACAUCUCCCAGGAUCAUUUGGGAAGCUAAUAAAUUUGGUGCAUAUUAGUCUGUCAGGGUGCUGUAAACUAGAAAAUCUCCCAGAAUCAUUUGGGAAGCUAAUCAAGUUGGUGCACAUCAACUUAUCAGGAUCCUCUGCACUAGUACAUUUGCCGGAAUUUUUUGGCAAGCUAAUAAAUUUGGUGCACAUCAACUUAUCAGGUUGCCUUGCACUAGCAAAUCUGCCAGAAUCCAUAGGGGAGCUAACAAAACUGGAGCACAUCAACCUAUCAGGCUGCCAGGCACUAGUAGAUUUUCCUGAAUCUUUCAGGAAGCUAACAAAAUUGGAGCACAUCAACAUAUCAGGCUGCCAUAAACUAGUAAAUCUUCCGGGGUCUUUUGGAAAGCUGACAAGUUUAGUUCAUGUCAACCUAUCAAGCUGCUAUGGACUAUCAAAGCUGCCGCAAUCAUUUGGUAAGCUCACAAAUUUGGCACACAUCAACUUAUCAGGCUGCUCUGUAAUAAAGAAACUGCCGCAAUCAUUCUGCAAGCUCAUAAGUUUGGUGCAUAUCAACUUAUCAAAUUGCUCUGGACUAGCAACUCUUCCAGAAGCUUUUGGGGAUCUACAAAAUUUGUUGCAUGUUGAUCUAUCACGCUGCUAUGGACUAGAGCUGCCAAAAUCAUUUGGAAAGCUAAAAAAUUUGCUUCAUCUGGAUUUAUCAUUCCGGUCUUGUUUUGAAGGGAUGCAAACAAUAUUGGGUGGCCUUACAGGUCUCCAGCAUUUGAAUUUGUCACACCCUUGCUGUCGUCGUGCUGACUACCCCCAUCUCAAAGGAUUGAAACAAGUUCUGGGCCAAUUCGUCAGGCUAGAGCAUCUAAACCUAUCAAUGUUCCUGAAUCCUAUCUUUUGCGACCAGUCACAAAAGGAGAAUCUUGAAUACAUCAAACUUAUCAGCGGCCUCUCCACACUGAAGUAUCUGGACUUAUCUCAUAACAUAUUUCUUCGUGAUCUACCUGAAAGUCUAAAUGGCCUCGAGAGGCUACAUACACUGGACCUCUCAGGCUGCAUUAGACUUAAGAAAGUUAACGAAUGGAGGACUCACAUGCCCUCUUCUCUCAAGUCACUAGUAUUAAGUAACAUGGAAAGUUACCAGUUUGUGGUUGGCCAUGAAGAUGCCAUCAACAACUACAAUCAGCUGGUGGAUGUAAGAUGUAAGGAGUUGAAGAUAACUCGUCUUCAGAAUAUGAAGUCUACGGCAGAAGCACGGAGGAUAAAAUUGGCAAAGAAACAAAAUCUUCAGAAGUUGAUGCUUUCUUGGAAUGUGAGAUCUAGGCGAACCAUGGAGGAUGAUGCUUUGCUCGGAGAACUGGUGCCACCGCAUAGUCUACGGUGCCUUGAGCUAAAAGGUUACAGCAGCACAUGCUUCCCAUCCUGGUUAAGAUGGAGCAGCAUAUCUUCAUUUAAUCUUGUGGAGGUUACCAUGGAGGACAUUCCGAAGUGCAGGGACUUACCACCGCUUGGUCUUUUACCAAACCUGCAGCGAGUGGUUCUCAGAAGGAUGGCCAGAAUCACAAGAAUCGACGCCGGUGACCUGAGUGGCGGCAACACAGCAGCAUUCAAUCGACUUUCCAAGUUUAUCAUAGAAGACAUGGGUAGCCUUGAAGAAUUCACAUACUAUGGUGGUGGUGGUGUUGCAUUCCCGGUUAUUGAUGAAUUGGUGGUGAAAAAAUGUCCCACCCUGAGCUUUGUACCUUUCCCGCCUAGAGCUCGGAGGUUAGUAAUAUCAGACUGCAAUGCUGUGAUGCUUUGCUGGACGAACAGAGCAGGAAGACAUGGUGUGGAGGGCCUUUCUUGUAUCUCUACACCAGUAACCUGGGUUACUGAACUGGUGGUCGAGAACUGCUAUGUGUAUCCAAGUCACUGCUAUUUGCUCAACCACCUCUCUGGCCUCCGCAGCUUAACUAUCAAGAAUUGCACAGAUUUCAACAAUCUUUUCUCACCAGAGAAUAUUGGGUUCCUAUCCUCCCUCCAGAUGCUAUGUUUCUCUCAUUGCCAGAUGGAGACAUUGCCAGAAGAAUUGGGUGACCUGAGCUCUCUCCAGGAACUGCUGAUCGAGUCCUGCGGUCGGUUCCGAGGUUUGCCGAACAAGAUGAAGCACCUUGCCGCCCUUCAGUCAAUGCAUUUCACCGAGUGCAACUCUAUGACAGGACUUCCCCUGUGGUUGGGAAAUCUCACCUCUCUUCAGAAGCUUGCGAUUGAGAGAUGCAUGAAGAUUGAAUCUUUGCCCCCCAGCAUAGGUGAACUAACCAAUCUCAAGGAUCUGCAUAUUGUGAGCUGUUCAGAUCUGAAAUGGUGGUGUGAAAAGGAUGAGAACAAGAAACAUCUCAGUCACAUCCGGCCAAAAAUUGAAGAAGCUCCUACCAGCGUUGCGGGCGAUCACCUUUCGUAA
rnacentral:rRNA from 1 species